rnacentral:rRNA from 2 species
AAGCGGGGGAUAACAUUUGGAAACAAGUGCUAAUACCGCAUAAUUAGUUGGAACCGCAUGGUUCCAACUUGAAAGAUGGCUCUGCUAUCACUUUGGGAUGGACCCGCGCCGUAUUAGUUAGUUGGUGAGAUAAAAGCCCACCAAGACGAUGAUACGUAGCCGACCUGAGAGGGUAAUCGGCCACAUUGGGACUGAGACACGGCCCAGACUCCUACGGGAGGCAGCAGUAGGGAAUCUUCCACAAUGGACGAAAGUCUGAUGGAGCAACGCCGCGUGAGUGAUGAAGGUUUUCGGAUCGUAAAACUCUGUUGUUAAAGAAGAACAAGUGUUAGAGUAACUGUUAACACUUUGACGGUAUUUAACCAGAAAGCCACGGCUAACUACGUGCCAGCAGCCGCGGUAAUACGUAGGUGGCAAGCGUUGUCCGGAUUUAUUGGGCGUAAAGCGAGCGCAGGCGGUUUUGUAAGUCUGCUGUGAAAGCCCUCAGCUCAACUGAGGAAGUGCAGUGGAAACUACAAAACUUGAGUACAGAAGAGGAAAGUGGAACUCCAUGUGUAGCGGUGAAAUGCGUAGAUAUAUGGAAGAACACCAGUGGCGAAGGCGGCUUUCUGGUCUGUUACUGACGCUGAGGCUCGAAAGCAUGGGGUAGCGAACAGGAUUAGAUACCCUGGGUAGUCCAUGCCGUAAACGAUGAAUACUAGGUGUUGGAGGGUUUCCCGCC